GAUGAACGCUGGCGGCGUGCUUAACACAUGCAAGUCGAACGGAAAGGCUCCUGCUUGCAGGGGUACUCGAGUGGCGAACGGGUGAGUAACACGUGGGUGAUCUGCCCUGCACUUCGGGAUAAGCCCGGGAAACUGGGUCUAAUACCGGAUAGGACGAUGGUUUGGAUGCCAUUGUGGAAAGUUUUUCGGUGUGGGAUGAGCUCGCGGCCUAUCAGCUUGUUGGUGGGGUAAUGGCCUACCAAGGCGUCGACGGGUAGCCGGCCUGAGAGGGUGUACGGCCACAUUGGGACUGAGAUACGGCCCAGACUCCUACGGGAGGCAGCAGUGGGGAAUAUUGCACAAUGGGCGAAAGCCUGAUGCAGCGACGCCGCGUGGGGGAUGACGGCCUUCGGGUUGUAAACUCCUUUCGCUAGGGACGAAGCGCAAGUGACGGUACCUGGAGAAGAAGCACCGGCUAACUACGUG
rnacentral:rRNA from 1 species